UACGUAGGUGGCAAGCGUUGUCCGGAUUUACUGGGUGUAAAGGGCGUGUAGCCGGGUUGACAAGUCAGAUGUGAAAUCCUGCGGCUUAACCGCAGAACUGCAUUUGAAACUGUUGAUCUUGAGUACUGGAGAGGCAGACGGAAUUCCUAGUGUAGCGGUGAAAUGCGUAGAUAUUAGGAGGAACACCAGUGGCGAAGGCGGAUUGCUGGACAGUAACUGACGCUGAGGCGCGAAAGCGUGGGGAGCAAACAGG
rnacentral:rRNA from 1 species